rnacentral:rRNA from 1 species
CCUGCUCACUGAGUAAUUUUAAUAGCCGCAGUACUCUGACUGUGCAAAGGUAGCAUAAUAAUUAGAUUUUUAAUUGAAAUCUGGAAUGAACGGUUGGACAAGAUAAAUACUGUUUCUACUUUAAAGAUUGAAUUUAACUUUUAAGUUAAAAGGCUUAAAUUUUCUAAAAAGACGAUAAGACCCUAUAAAAUUUUAUAUUUAAAUUUAUAAAAUUAAAUUUUAUUAUAAAAGUUUUUUAAGUUUAUAGUAUUUUGUUGGGGUGACAAAAGUUUAAAGAUAAAUAAUUUCUUAAUGGAGUUACACUAAUAAGUGAUUUUUUGAUCCUAUUAUAUAGAUUUUAGAUUAAAUUACUUUAGGGAUAACAGCGUUAUUUUUCUUAAGAGUUCGUAUCAAAGGAAAAGAUUGCGACCUCGAUGUUGAAUUAAAUUUCUUCAUAGUGCAGAAGCUAUUAAUAGAAAGUCUGUUCGACUUUUAAAUAUUUACGUGAUCUGAGUUCACACCGGA